GACGAACGCUGGCGGCGUGCUUAACACAUGCAAGUCGAACGGAAAGGCCCUGCUUUUGUGGGGUGCUCGAGUGGCGAACGGGUGAGUAACACGUGAGUAAACUGCCCUUGACUUUGGGAUAACUUCAGGAAACUGGGGCUAAUACCGGAUAGGAGCUCCUGCUGCAUGGUGGGGGUUGGAAAGUUUCGGCGGUUGGGGAUGGACUCGCGGCUUAUCAGCUUGUUGGUGGGGUAGUGGCUUACCAAGGCUUUGAAGGGUAGCCGGCCUGAGAGGGUGACCGGCGACAUUGGGACUGAGAUACGGCCCAGACGCCUACGGGAGGCAGCAGUGGGGAAUAUUGCACAAUGGGCGGAAGCCUGAUGCAGCAACGCCGCGUGCGGGAUGACGGCCUUCUGGUUGUAAACCGCUUUCGCCUGUGACGAAGCGUGAGUGACGGUAAUGGGUAAAGAAGCACCGGCUAACUACGUG
rnacentral:rRNA from 1 species